rnacentral:rRNA from 1 species
GUAAGGAAUAUUGGACAAUGGUCGGAAGACUGAUCCAGCCAUCCCGCGUGAAGGAUGACUGCCCUAUGGGUUGUAAACUUCUUUUAUAUGGGAAGAAACCCCUGGAUUUAUCUGGGGCUGACGGUACCAUAUGAAUAAGCACCGGCUAACUCCGUGCCAGCAGCCGCGGUAAUACGGAGGGUGCAAGCGUUAUCCGGAAUCACUGGGUUUAAAGGGUGCGUAGGUGGCUUGGUAAGUCAGAGGUGAAAGCCCGUCGCUCAACGACGGAAUUGCCUUUGAUACUGCCGAGCUUGAAUUAGGUUGAGGUAGGCGGAAUGUGGCAUGUAGCGGUGAAAUGCAUAGAUAUGCCAUAGAACACCAAUUGCGAAGGCAGCUUACUGGACCUGGAUUGACGCUGAGGCACGAAAGCGUGGGGAUCAAACAGGAUUAGAAACCCCAGUAGUCC